UUUUGUUUGUUACUUUUGAUUAUUUUUAUUUUCAUGACUUUGUUUUGAAUUUAGUUUCCUCAGUCUUUUCUUAAUAAUUUUUGUCUAGGUCACCCUGCUCCUCCUUCCUGCCUGCUUUAUGGGGUCCUACGCCAUCACUCAAAUAGAAGAGGCUGGAGGAAAAGGCCGGCGGUUCCGAGGAUGCACACCAGGACAAAAACCCACAGAAAGAUGCGGUCGAUCACCAUGGCGACGUAUUUCCAAUCGUCCUGAACCUGUGAGAGGAGCGACAAUGACAAAGCAGGGAAUGAACACGAGCAAGCGGUGGGCUCCCUGACACGUCGGCCAUCAUCUGGGUUGUGAAGUCGUAAAGGUUAUGAAUGGCGGGGAGUGAUUCGCUGAGAUGGAAUGAGGUGACGAGGCGGGCUUUUAAUUAACUUUUCGCCUGCCGCUGAUGUGGAGGACGGGAGAGCAGGAUAAAUCAGCUAGGACAACAGCAAUCUGCUGCUUUAUUGGUGCGCACACAAGACCCUUGGCAUGACGAUGUGCAUGUCAAGCAGAUCUUUUGCCGGUGACAUGAACAAUGCACAUUGGGCCGUUACAUUUGCUUCAUUGAACAAUGUGAAAAUGGUGCAAUGACUAGAAUGUAACUCAGUAGAGCGCAGACCUGCACAAAGGCUGAACUGCUGACUUACAGUAUGUGUCAAGCAGGUUACUUCCUGGUUCAUGUUGGAUGAUGGUCAGUCACAUGGGAGUUCACCAUUCUGGGGGCAUGGGGACGCUUCUAUUAAUGGCCUAAUAGAUAUAAAGCAUAACUGCAGCUUUAUCCGGACCUUCACCGAAAUAUAAAGAAGUUCACACAUAAAGACCAGAAAAAAUGAUGACUCGUAGUUGAUCAUGUUGAAAGUUUAGUAGCGAUUUUGUCUUCUUUUUUUAAGUCUACUGUAUGUGUGUGUGCAAACAUGCAUGUCACCAUUGUAACUCUAACUGCAGAGCUAACAUAGUGACAUGCUCUCAAACACACAUACAC